UACGUAGGGGGCAAGCGUUGUUCGGAAUUACUGGGCGUAAAGGCGCGUAGGCGGCACGGCAAGUCAGGAGUGAAAGCCCUGGGCUCAACCCGGGAACUGCUUUGAAACUGCCGAGCUAGAGUGCGGAAGGGGCAAGCUGGAAUUCCCAGUGUAGCGGUGAAAGUGACGUAGAUAUUGGGAAGAACACCUGAGGCGAAGGCGGGUUGCUGGGCCGACACUGACGCUGAGGCGCGAAAGCCAGGGGAGCCGAA
rnacentral:rRNA from 1 species